rnacentral:rRNA from 1 species
GACGAACGCUGGCGGCGUGCUUAACACAUGCAAGUCGAACGGAAAGGCCCUGCUUUUGUGGGGUGCUCGAGUGGCGAACGGGUGAGUAACACGUGAGUAACCUGCCCUUGACUUUGGGAUAACUUCAGGAAACUGGGGCUAAUACCGGAUAGGAGCUCCUGCUGCAUGGUGGGGGUUGGAAAGUUUCGGCGGUUGGGGAUGGACUCGCGGCUUAUCAGCUUGUUGGUGGGGUAGUGGCUUACCAAGGCUUUGACGGGUAGCCGGCCUGAGAGGGUGACCGGCCACAAGGGGACUGAGAGACGGCCCAGACUCCUACGGGAGGCAGCAGUGGGGAAUAUGGCACAAUGGGCGGAAGCCUGAUGCAGCAACGCCGCGUGCGGGAUGACGGCCUUCGGGUUGUAAACCGCUUUCGCCUGUGACGAAGCGUGAGUGACGGUAAUGGGUAAAGAAGCACCGGCUAACUACGUG